CAGGUUUAUUUAGGAAAAUUCUUGCUAUUAUUAUUUAUUUAUUUUUUCUGCAUCUGUUAUUUUAUUUAAUGUAUGUGGCCAAAAUCUAGAGCUUCUCCACCCUAAACAUCUCUGAUAUUGAGGAGCACCAGCUGAACUUUAAUGGUCAUUACUGCAGGCCACUUGGCCAACAAGCCUGGUGCGACUAGGGGCUGCAUGUAACAUGGCUCCCUUCUGAUGCAGAGGUAGUGGCAGGUUUUGCCGGAAGACUUGUGGUGCCAACAGUACUGGGGCCAGGGAAAGAUUUUGCAUUGAGUCAGGUGAAGCCUCACAGUCCUUACCAAGAUAAUUGAGGAUCAUAAUGGUGGGAAAGGACUGCAGUCAUCAUUCGCUUCCUGUCAGAAGCUGAUGGAAGCCGAUGAAGUUUGCUCGAGAUGGAUCAGCUCUCCCAUAGGCAGCAGGGUUUGACAGCACUGCUAGGUGCUGGUGCCACGGAUGUUUUCUUCUUUUUGCUACCUAUGUGAACAACACGCUGCGCUUGACUUCGUUUCUGCAGAGAUAGAUGAGGAUCGCUUUUACUCAUUACGCUCAAGGUUCAUUAUCAUGGACUUCUACAAUUUUAUGGAUGGAAAAAACAAAACAAAACAACCUCAGUACUGUAUGUUACUGUCCUCUGUAUAUUACAUAUAUAUAUAUAUUAUUAUUUUUUUUACCAUCUGGUGGAUUUGGUACAUAUUGAUCACGUGGCCUUUGCUGCAUGCCAUCACUGUUGGUGAGGUGGUUGGGUAAGAUCUAACGCCAUCCCUCAGCUCCGGGUCUGAGCCCUGCUCAUGCUGGCCAGUUGCAGCGUUUGUUGGUCUAUGUGACAACCAGCUGGGCUCAGGGGGACCCACGGUGAUGUUAGAAUUGCCACCCUCCCAAUUAGCUGCCAAUGGCCUCCCACUGGCAGAGGUAGCUCUGGCAGCGCUGCCGGUGCAGGUGAUGGGUCUGGUGUCCUCCUCAGAGCCUCCAUCCUUCUGCACCAGGAACCAAUACCAUGUAAAGAUAAAUGCAAGAAAAAACACAAAAGGAAUGUGGGUUCAAAAUGAAACAGUGGCAUGUGUCAGCUUUUAGCCCCAAGACAAUCUUCAUGUAUCUUUUGAUGAAUCUUUUUAAGUAAUGGUUAGAUGAUGAGGCCUUGGUUCAGAGGCAACUUACGCUCGUGAACCAUGUGACCAUGUGUGCAUUCCCACACGCGUCUGCGGGAUGACUUACAGGCUUUAUAUUAUGCAUAACCUUCAGUAAUUUGCUGAAUCAGGGCCUAAAUACUGAAAUAAUCUUUAAUCGUGCUGGCUUCACAAUGAAACUCUAGAAGCCACAUUUCCCUCUUAGUGUCUUUCCAUAAGACUCAUCAAUGAUAAUGGAGUUACAUUAGGCACAUCUAAAGUUAAUUAUACAGUUACGUCCCUCUUGGCCCCUGUUUGUCAAAGAGAAUAGGAUAAAAAUAUUCUGUUUUCUAACAUCUAUUUUUUAUUUUCAUUUGGAUUUUGGUCAGCAAAUGAGAUAACAGAGUAAAGGGCACACUAAGAAGACCAUGGGCCGGUGGGUCUGGAUAUUUGUCAGCUGUGAACGAGCUUGGGAAAUGUUGUGUUAAGAAAACCUGCAGAAAAAAAUAAUCUAUACAAGCCAAAGGAAAUGGAAUAUU